rnacentral:pre_miRNA from 1 species
GGUACUUGGAGAGAGGCUGGCCGUGAUGAAUUCGAUUCAUCAAAGCGAGUCAUACAUGGCUCUCCUCUCUUUUAGUGUC